GACGAACGCUGGCGGCGUGCCUAAUACAUGCAAGUUGAGCGAUGAAGAUUGGUGCUUGCACCAAUUUGAAGAGCAGCGAACGGGUGAGUAACGCGUGGGGAAUCUGCCUUUGAGCGGGGGACAACAUUUGGAAACGAAUGCUAAUACCGCAUAACAACUUUAAACAUAAGUUUUAAGUUUGAAAGAUGCAAUUGCAUCACUCAAAGAUGAUCCCGCGUUGUAUUAGCUAGUUGGUGAGGUAAAGGCUCACCAAGGCGAUGAUACAUAGCCGACCUGAGAGGGUGGUCGGCCACAUUGGGACUGAGACACGGCCCAAACUCCUACGGGAGGCAGCAGUAGGGAAUCUUCGGCAAUGGACGAAAGUCUGACCGAGCAACGCCGCGGGAGUGAAGAAGGUUUUCGGAUCGUAAAACUCUGUUGGUAGAGAAGAACGUUGGUGAGAGUGGAAAGCUCAUCAAGUGACGGUAACUACCCAGAAAGGGACGGCUAACUACGUG
rnacentral:rRNA from 1 species